rnacentral:lncRNA from 1 species
UCCCAGCAACCAAGGCAGGCCAAGAAUUUGUUCAACUCUUUUUAUUAAGUUAGAAAACUCGGUAAGAGCCUCACAACUUGGGGAAAGCACCGUGGCUAGAUCCUUGGUGCUGUGGGACGUGUGCUUAUCUCAAGCAGGCCCCCACGCAGGGUCACUGCAGGUGUGCGUCCCUGUGGGCCAUGGCUGCUCUGCCAGCCUCCAGCAGAGGGGAGGCUGAGAGCACAGGGGGCCUGCGACACGGGCCGCGUCUGUGGGCCUGAGGAGCCCAAGGAGCAGCUCUCCUUUGGCAGGCCCAGCCCGGUCCUCUUCCCCUGAGACACCGGGGCUCAAGCUCCAGCUUUGUACAGGGGCCCUAGUGGCCCUAAAUCCCCAGUAACACUGCGGCCCACUCUGCAGGCCUGGUCAAGUGAGGGGUGAGCUGGGGCCUCUGCCCAGGUAAAGUGCCAUUGGCAGAAGAUGACAGCAUGGGGCAACCUGGUUGCUGGGGACACACUGACAAGAGAUCCACAAGAUGCCAGAGGGGACAGCGGUGGGCAAGUACCUGGUAAACCUAGGGACUGUUCUUACUCUCUGAGCUCAGGGAACAAACGGGAGAAGCCAGUGCUACCCAGCAGGAAGGAUGGCGGGCACUGCUGCGGCACUGUCCCCCACUCUGAGACUCCUCCAAGGCCCCUCUGCUACUAGCUCAGAGCUGGCCUGUCCUGGAGAGGUGUGGUCUCCUGGGACGGAGCCCAGUGCUGCGGACUGUGGUGCUGUGGACUCUGAGGAGGGGCGGUGAGGUGGCCGAGUGCUCCCCAGGGCUACAGUCCCACUGUCCCCGUGUCCUUGGGCAGGGGCACCUGUCCCACACCUGGAGCAGCACCCUAGAACUUGGUCCUCCGUGGGACAGGCUGGGCUUUUUGGGGAUCUGGGUGGAUUUGUUAAUGAAAUCUUGUGGUGUCACUGAAGUCACCCCAUGGUGUCCUCCAAACUGUGCUCAGUUUUCUCCUCGAUGACGACCACCUGCUCUCAGUCAGGGAGACCCUGCUUCCCUGAGGCCCAAGUACCAUCUGUCAGGUGACAUUAAAACCUCCCACGGGCAGCCCGUGAGUCAAAGACUGGGGGCCAGUUCCGGGUGACCAAAGCCCACCUAGGCCACCCACUGGCCCCACCCCGGCCUGGACUACCCUCCUGACCCCAGCCCUAGUCCAGGGCUCGAUGACAUAGGCAGCUUCGGGGCUCCGCCGAGUUCUUCCCCGAGGCUCUCUCGAGCUCCUCGCCCUGUGCCUGAAGCUGGAGAGGCCCCCAGGCACAGGAUGCGGGAGGCUUUGUUCCUCUGGUCUGAAGCUCUGAAGCGCAGGACAGCCCAGGCGGCGAGGAGGCCUCUGCCAGAGCAGGAGCAGUUGGCUUCCGGCCCCUGGAGGGGUGAGAGCGUGGCCACACCUCCGGGCAACCAGGCCCAGGCCCCGCCCCGGGGACAGUGGGAGCCGCAGGGCUGGGAGAGACACGCAGAGUCUGUGAGGACAGAGAAGAGAAGGAAUGAGCGCCUUGCCGCCACAGCAGUCCCCGUUCUGUGAGAAAACGACAGGACAGAGGCCUCACGUCAGGCCUGGACGUGGCCGCAGGGCCCGGCACCCUGAGCGGGGGUUCCUGCCACACUCCCCGUCACCCCCACCCUGGCAGGCCUGGCGAUCCCGCGGAGCACACACUGUCCUCCGGGGAUUACACGGCGGGAAUGCACCUCGGGAGAAGUGCUACAAACGCAAGCCUUUCACUGUGGAACAACUUCCACGCGAGGAAGACACAGGCGUCGUGCUAAGGUGCACCUUCUGACCCCGCCUCACCCCCGCGCCUCCCAUACUGGCACGCAGGGAGGCCCGAGGCAGGUGAAGAGGUCUGCUUCGGGCACGGCUUGGUGAUACGCAGGUCUUCUCUUCAGGCGGCCCCGAAUCUCCCUGUCUCAGCCAGCUCCCCACAAAGGGAGGCCAGGAUGGCACCCCUUCCCCGCCUCGGACACAGCACACCAAGACAGCACGCCUCCCACCUGCUCUCCUGAAGCCACGGUCACCCUCUCACACAUGCACGUUCCCCAAUGGCUCUUUGUCUCUAUCUCCCUCAGGCUCCAACUGCCUGCAGCCAGAGCUGGGAAGGGACAGGGAGGCCAGUGCCUCAGUGCCCCCUGCGCCAUGGCACAACCAAGGCUUCACACUUGAGCCAGAGGCUGCUUCAGCUCGGCUCCAGUGGCCACACCCCAUGGAUGCAAAUGAGACGCCUUCGCCCCAGUCAGCAGCUCUGCCUUCCCAGGGAGGCUCAGGACAGAGGCCGGGGUCAAGUCCCGCAAAACCCGGCCGAGACAGAGCAUCAAACGUGCGCCUGCCGUGUAAUGGACACCGCAUCAGGCAUUUUGCAUAUGCGACCCAACCUUCACAACCGAGUGCGGCGCAGCACGUCACGACUGACAGUCUGCAUGGGGUGGCCAAGGGUCCACCACAGCAGCCCACAGCCCUGGGUUGCAGCGGCCUUCCUGGACAGAUUUGUUACUUGCUCACACUGCAUGCUUUGUGGUUGUGACAUGUUCUCAUAGCUGGCCCCAGAAACCCGGGUGAUAGGGCUGCUGCCCUGUCACAUCAGUCACCAUGCCAAAGGGAGAGGGGAGGACUGGAAAGUGUAGCCCCGAGAGCGCCAGGAGGUGCCAUCUUGCCACAUGCCCACUACUUCGGCAGUUCAGACGAGAAACAGAAGCUCACAGGUUACUGCUAAGGAAGCAGCACCCAUGCCGUCCCAUCCAAUCGCCACCACAGCCCUGGGGACAGUUACACUUACAGGCUAGGAAACCAGGCCCAGAGAUGCGAGGAACUUGCCCAAAGCCCCAUGGGAGUGGUGAGCAGAGCCCAGGGCUCCAGCUCCAGGGUGUUCCCGCAACUACACUCUAGGACCUAGUCUCGAGGCUGGGAAGGGCUGGCAUUCAAACCCAAGGCCCCCCUUCCCCGCACCAAAGGGGUCCCAGGCCUGCGAAGCUUAGCCCCAAGUUUGCCACCAGGACACUGCCCUCUCCCUCCGCCCCAUGGAGCAGCCUUUCUCACCAGCCUCUGUGACACGCCAGUGACAUCCAAAGAGGAUUUCGCCUCCUGCCCCAAGACACCCACUGCAGGCCAUGAGCUCAGCUCUCUCCUGAGCGGAGUGGCUAACGGUGGGCACUCUUGGCUCACUCACUCUCUGUGUUCAGAUGCAGACGUGCUUGAGAAAGGCCACCUUCGGAAGGACCUGACGGAGCUCCCAGGACUUGUUCAGCUACUCAAAUACCAAGCAUGGAAGUGGCCAGCCCACCACCAACUUAGUAUGUUUCCAAAGAGAACCUGUCUUGCCGAGGGAGAGAAGCCAGAGAGCAGAAUUCUUCUAGAGGGACUGUUCCAGCCACACGCCCAGCCUGGGAAGGGGCAAACAAGGCCACAAAGGUCACGGCCCAUCUCUCCACCCAGAGUCCUGCCUCCUCAGUGACAGCUCUGCCGACCAAGCAGAGACACACCCAGGAGCUCCAUCGGAAAAGACAGCAGCAACAAGAGGAGCCAGACAUGCAAGUUCCCAGACUCUCAUAACACAGGAUUUUCACAGGGAGGGGUGGUAUGAAAAGUAACAGGGGUGGGCGAAUUUAAAAGCUUUUGGGCUGGGAAGGUGCUGAAAAGCAAAGGUUGAGAAAUGCUGCAAACAGAAGAACUCUUUUUACUUUGGCUUAUCAUUUCCAGCUCUCAUCCACAAACAUGUUGAAAUUUCUGCAUUUGGGCGGGGGGUGUGUAGCUCAGCAGUAGCCCAUCCACUUACUAUAGGUGAGGCCCUGGGUUCAAUUCCCAUAGGACACAUUUUUAAAAAGUAAAUAAAAAUUAAAUUGUUGCAAUUACAGAAUACUCUUUAUACUGUUUCUAUCUUAACUUUUCUCAUGGUUGCCAUUUUCCUGCCCUUCAUUUGCUACAGACACCAGACCUGUCUCUGGCACCUCACGAAACAUGGUAGUUUGUUUUUUGUUUGUUUUUGUUUUUGUUACUGGGGAUCCAACUCAGGACCUUACGGUUGCAAGGCAGGCGGUGGAACCACUGAGCUAAAUCCCCAGCCUUUAACAUGGUAGUUUUAUCCUGCGGUGAUCAACUACAUUUUCAUACCUUAGAAACAUACUAACC